CUUGCACCACGUAAUGAGAGUAGCGCACCGGUGAGUAACACGUGGGAACAUACCUUGAAGUGGGGGACAACAGAGGGAAACUUCUGCUAAUACCGCAUAAUCCCUGAGGGGGAAAGAUUUAUCGCUUUAAGAUUGGCCCGCGGAAGAUUAGGUAGUUGGUGGGGUAAAGGCCUACCAAGCCGACGAUCUAUAGCUGGUCUGAGAGGACGAACAGCCACAUUGGAACUGAGACACGGUCCAGACUCCUACGGGAGGCAGCAG
rnacentral:rRNA from 1 species